GUGCACUUGCUGGCCCAGGACCUUCGCAGCCCCCCUCCCAUGCUCCCAGUGAAGCAGAUCCAGAGUCUCUGACUGCUGUGCUCUACAACAACAAAGUGAUGCUGACCAGUCCAGUAUUGCUGAAGACGAGGAUGAUGCCUUAGGGGUGACCUUCAUAGAGAACGGGACAGUAACAGCCUUUGUGGUGCCAGAAGGUAAGGGUGUGGAGCAGACAGCUUUGCGAAGUUGAAGGGCCUGAAGUGCUUCUGCAAGCUCAAUGAUGGCCUGCCUUGCAACAGCCAGUUCGAAUCAACUGCUUUUGACGACCUGCCUUUGUCUUUUGCUGGUAUGACACGAGAGGAGCAUAAUAUUUUUUUGACGCGUUUUUACGUAAUUCAAUGAUUUACUGUUGUAACAUAAAAACAGUCAUAACUUCACAUAGAAGAGAGGUAUUUCACUAAAAUAAAAAGCAAACUGUCCACAAAUGGCACCUCUA